ACGGCACCAUGCUGCCCUGAACACUUCUGAUACUCUCAGAUAUCAGCAGCUGAGCAGGAUCAGGCCUGGUUAGUUCCUGGAUGGAAAACCACCUUGGAAUAGCAGGAAUCUCCCGCC
rnacentral:rRNA from 1 species